rnacentral:rRNA from 1 species
CCCUUAGAUGUUCUGGGCCGCACGCGCGCUACACUGAUGCAUUCAACGAGCCUAUCCUUGACCGACAGGUCCGGGUAAUCUUUGAAUCUGCAUCGUGACGGGGAUAGAUUAUUGCAAUUACUAAUCUUCAACGAGGAAUGCCUAGUAGGCGCAAGUCAUCAGCUUGCGUCGAUUACGUCCCUGCCCUUUGUACACACCGCCCGUCGCUCCUACCGAUUGGGUGUGCUGGUGAAAUGUUCGGAUCGGCCGUUUGUCGCGGUUUCCGCGUCAUGUGGCUGAGAAGUUCAUUAAACCCUCCCACCGAGAGGAAGGAGAAGUCGUAACA